rnacentral:tmRNA from 1 species
GGGGGCGUAAAGGUUUCGACGGGGAUCUUGAAUCACGAUAAGCGAGUAGCGGUGCGGAACCGCUCUAAAAUCCGCAACUUUUCAAAAGAAACGACACUAACACUGUUGCUCUCGCUGCUUAAUUAAGCAGCGCGUCCGACCCGCAGGACCGCCGGGCGGUACAGGGCGUCAUUGAGGCGGUGAACGUGAACCGGCGAGUGUUCGGUAGCCGGGCAUGACCUACGAACUACUCAAAGCGCGAGUGUGUCAAUUCACGCGCGCCGAGGGGAAUGUAAAGAAUUGACUGUACUCGGAGAAAGUCGUGAGGAUGGGUCUUCGGACGCGGGUUCGAUUCCCGCCGCCUUCACCA